GCAACAAUGUCAAUAUUACAGCCUGGCAGGUGACCGCGUUGGAGAGAGGAGGGCAGCUGCCAGCAGGCAGCCCCCCGGGGAAAACAGGGGAGUUUCAGUGGUUUCUGGAGCCUGAGGAACAGGGAGAUGCCCUGAGCUAAGCAGGAGUUAAGCGCAGUCAUGCGGAGGCCUGGCUGUUACGAUUGAAGGUCGCUUCGUGAAUAUCGAUAGUUUCUGUAGGUAUUUUUAUAUCUAUAGAAAGAUAAAAAGUAAAAGUAGAAUAUAGAGCAUUGUGCAGGAGAAGAAGAACCCUUUAUGUAAGAUGUGACCUGAGGGGCAUCAUGCCAGGCUGUCCCUUCCAGAUUGGGAAGGAUUCAGUGUUUUGUAUGGCACGAUGGAGAGUUUUGAAAAGUAAGAUUUCCUCUUUGGUGCAGGUCCGAUGGGUGAGGCCUGGCAGCUUGUGCACUGCCACUGUGCUAACCUGCGUGCCUCUCCUUCCCUCCCUGCUCCGCAGGCACAGCACGGGAUCAGCAGGGAGGGGCGGCUCUGUCGUGGAGGAUCCAGGAGCUCGGCGCGCGUGUCUGAGCCUGCAGCUGCGAGCCGCAGCAGGACCCAAGGUCUGCACACGCCUGUGUACAGAAGAAUUGUGCGAGGACAGAAAAGUUGCAAUGGCAUUGCAGUUCCCUGCACAGAAAAUAGCCAGGGAGGUGAAGCCCGGCCCAGUGGUGCCGUUCGACUGCGCCCCGACUGGGAGCAUCAGGUUCAUUCCCAUUGUGAUCUGCAAAUGGCAAAUCAGGGUUGCUCUUUGUUAAAACCAAAAGCGCUCUCAGAAUGUUGAUGGAGGUGAUGAUUGCAGGGGCGAUGCUUCUGGAGAAUAGCUCCCCCAUCUUCCCCAGGGCCUGGGCAGAGAGAGGUGGAGCUCGGAGUCCCCCCAGUCCUCCCGCGGGUGCUGGCGUCUGCAGCGCCAUCGGGACGGGAUCCACGGCGCAGCUCCCUCCUCCAGAGGCCGAAAGCUCAGCCUCCAGUUUCGUGCAGGGUGAUCACCUUUCCAAGGCAAUACAAGCACUUCCCAAGAGCAGCUGGUGAAGAUGGCGCAGAAGCAAGGACAAGGGUGCAGUGAAAAGUUUGGUGCAUCGAUCCAGCUUCCGGACAUGUGAUCUUCUACCCUGCCCCAUGGCAAGAAGAGAAGAAGAGUUUGGUGAUUUUGCUGCUCUGCUCUCUCAAGGGUGUUGCAGGCUGCGUAGCAGGGAGUGAAGCCCUUGUCGCUGCUCAUCAGACACUUUCCUACAGAAUUCUCCCUGCAGUGAUAAAAUUAGACUGGUGUUAGUGAGCUGCCAAGUAGAGCAGGUAACAUUGGACAAGAAUGGUUUCUGAGCUGCUGUUCACUAGCACGUGUUUCCCCUUUCCAGCGCGGUGCCGCCGCCCAAGAAAGGAUUUUUGUGGGUCAGCCAGAUGUGCUCCUGCCUCCCACUGAGGCUCUGAGAUGGAGCCGAGUUUGCAUUCCAGUUUAUUGCAACAGAGGGUCAUCGGAAAUUUCCUCAGCUAUCUCAGGCACAGAGCCAUGGAAGCAAGUAAGCCUGAGCUCCUGCGUGCUUGCUGUGAGCCUUGAGACGAGUGUGCAUCAUUGCAGGCUUGGAAUUUAUUGAAAUGCGCUAAGGAAACCGGCUCUGG